rnacentral:rRNA from 1 species
GACGAACGCUGGCGGCAUGCUUAACACAUGCCAGUCGAACGGAACGGCCCUGUCUUGGGGCGCUGCUCGAGGUGCCACCGGGUGAGUAACACGUGAGUACCCUGUCCCUGCCCGUGGGGGAACCUAAUGAAACAGGGGCUCAUAGCGCAUAGGAUCUCUCGCCUUUGGGUGGGGCCGCGUAGGAUUCGCCAGUUGGGAGGGUAAUAGCAUACCAAGGCGACGAUCCAUAGCUGGUCUGUGAGGAUGCUCAGCCACACUGGGACUGAGACACGGCCCAGACUCCUACGGGAGGCAGCAGUGGGGAAUAUUGGACAAUGGGCGAAAGCCUGAUCCAGCAAUGCCGCGUGAGUGAUGAAGGCCUUAGGGUUGUAAAGCUCUUUUACCCGGGAUGAUAAUGACAGUACCGGGAGAAUAAGCUCCGGCUAACUCCGUG